rnacentral:rRNA from 1 species
GACGAACGCUGGCGGCGUGCUUAACACAUGCAAGUCGAACGGAAAGGCCCUGCUUUUGUGGGGUGCUCGAGUGGCGAACGGGUGAGUAACACGUGAGUAACCUGCCCUUGACUUUGGGAUAACUUCAGGAAACUGGGGCUAAUACCGGAUAGGAGCUCCUGCUGCAUGGUGGGGGUUGGAAAGUUUCGGCGGUUGGGGAUGGACUCGCGGCUUAUCAGCUUGUUGGUGGGGUAGUGGCUUACCAAGGCUUUGACGGGUAGCCGGCCUGAGAGGGUGACCGGCCACGUUGGGACUGAGAUACGGCCCAGACUCCUACGGGAGGCAGGAGUGGGGAGGAUUGCACAGUGGGCGGGAGCCUGAUGCAGCGACGCCGCGUGGGGGAUGACGGGCUUCGGGUUGGAAACCGCUUUCGCCUGUGACGAAGCGUGAGUGACGGUAAUGGGUAAAGAAGCACCGGCUAACUACGUG